rnacentral:rRNA from 1 species
AUUGAACGCUGGCGGCAUGCCUUACACAUGCAAGUCGAACGGUAACAGGUCUUCGGAUGCUGACGAGUGGCGAACGGGCGAGUAAUACAUCGGAACGUGCCCGAUCGUGGGGGAUAACGAAGCGAAAGCUUUGCUAAUACCGCAUAAGAUCUAAGGAUGAAAGCAGGGGACCGCAAGGCCUUGCGCGAACGGAGCGGCCGAUGGAAGAUUAGGUAGUUGGUGGGAUAAAAGCUUACCAAGCCGACGAUCUGUAGCUGGUCUGAGAGGACGACCAGCCACACUGGGACUGAGACACGGCCCAGACUCCUACGGGAGGCAGCAGUGGGGAAUUUUGGACAAUGGGCGAAAGCCUGAUCCAGCCAUGCCGCGUGCAGGAUGAAGGCCUUCGGGUUGUAAACUGCUUUUGUACGGAACGAAAAGACUCUGGUUAAUACCUGGGGUCCAUGACGGUACCGUAAGAAUAAGCACCGGCUAACUACGUGCCAGCCGCCGCAGUAA